UACGAAGGGGGCGAGCGUUGUUCGGAUUUACUGGGCGUAAAGGGCGCGCAGGCGGCUCAUUUUGUCAGGCGUGAAAGCCCCGGGCUUAACCUGGGAACUGCGUUUGAUACGGAUGGGCUAGAGUUCGGGAGAGGAGAGUGGAAUUCCCAGUGUAGAGGUGAAAUUCGUAGAUAUUGGGAAGAACACCGGUGGCGAAGGCGGCUCUCUGGACCGAUACUGACGCUGAGGCGCGAAAGCAUGGGGAGCAAACAGG
rnacentral:rRNA from 1 species